AAAAAGACAAACCAUGGGUUUUCGUGUCCAACGUUUGACUGUCCGUCUUAUAUGAAAUUUUUUUAUAAUUAGUAUUUUCAUUAUUGUUAGAUGAUAAAACAUAAUUAAUACUUUAUGCGUGACCUGUAUUUUUAAUUUUUUUUUUUUCAUUAUUUUUUAAAUAAGACGGAUGGUCAAACGUUGAAUAUGAAAACACAAGAUUUGUCUUUUU
rfam:Oryza sativa Japonica Group DNA, chromosome 11, cultivar: Nipponbare, complete sequence.